rnacentral:rRNA from 1 species
UACAGAGGUCCCGAGCGUUGUUCGGAUUCACUGGGCGUAAAGGGUGCGUAGGUGGUGAGGUAAGUCGGAUGUGAAAUCUCCGAGCUCAACUCGGAAAUGGCAUUGGAAACUACCUUGCUUGAGGGUUGGAGGGGGACUGGAAUACUUGGUGUAGCAGUGAAAUGCGUAGAUAUCAAGUGGAACACCAGUGGCGAAGGCGAGUCCCUGGACAACUCCUGACACUGAGGCACGAAAGCUAGGGGAGCAAACAGG